ACACUAAUCUGGCAGGGGAGAGGCCAUGAUUACCAGGGUGGCUUUGCCAGGGCGAGGCUAAUCCAUUGCACUCCGGAUGUGCUGACCCCUGCGAUUUCCCCAAACAUGGGAAACUCGACUGUGUACUGUGGUAGUGGAGGACUGCGUAAGCACCUCUA